GAAUUUUCCGCAAUGGGCGCAAGCCUGACGGAGCAAUCCCGCGUGGAGGAUGACACCUUUCGGGGCGUAAACUCCUUUUCUGAGGGAAGAAAUUCUGACGGUACCUCAGGAAUAAGCACCGGCUAACUACGUGCCAGCAGCCGCGGUAAUACGUAGGGUGCAAGCGUUAUCCGGAAUCACUGGGCGUAAAGCGAUCGAAGGUGGACAAGAAGGUCUGGCGUUAAAUACCCACGGCUCAACCGGGGUGUCGUACUGGAAACCACUUGUCUGGAGGAAGACAGAGGCAGGUAGAAUUCCCAUUGUAGGGGUUAAAUCCGUAGAUAAUGGGAGGAAUACCAAAAGCGAAGGCAGCCUGCUGGGUCUUUCCUGACACUGCUCGAUCGAAAGCGUGGGGAGCGAAAGGG
rnacentral:rRNA from 1 species